GGUAUCCCCGACCGUGCUAAGGUAGCAUAAUAACUUGCCUCUUAAUUAGAGGCUGGAAUGAAUGGACCCACGAAAAUACAACUGUCUCCACCCCAAAAAUAAAAACUAAGCUUCAAGUGAAGACGCCUGAAUUAAACUAAAGGACAAAAAGACCCUGUUGAGCUUUAUCUACAACAAAUACAUAAAUUUAUUAAGAUUUAGUUGGGGCGACUAAGGAAGAUAAAAAGCUUCCUUUCAAAAAGACUAAUAGGUCAACUAAAAGAGCUAUAAAAAUAAUCGAAAAUAUAGCUACCACAGGGAUAACAGGCUAAUCCUCCUCAAGAGCCCAAAUUGACAGGAGGGCUUGGCACCUCGAUGUUGGCUUAAGGUCCCCUUUAAGUGCAGCAGCUUAAACGGUUGGUUUGUUCAACCAUUAAAACCUUACGUGAUCUGAGUUCA
rnacentral:rRNA from 1 species